AGCAAAAUAAGUUAAUUUGACUAUUUGUUUUCAAAACAAAAUGUGAUUUGAUAAAAUCUUUUGCUG
rnacentral:tRNA from 1 species